rnacentral:rRNA from 1 species
ACCUACGGGGGGCAGCAGUGAGGAAUAUUGGUCAAUGGGCUUACGCCUGAACCAGCCAAGUCGCGUGAGGGAAGACUGCCCUAUGGGUUGUAAACCUCUUUUGUCAGGGAGCAACGCCGUCUACGUGUAGCCGGACUGAGAGUACCUGAAGAAAAAGCAUCGGCUAACUCCGUGCCAGCAGCCGCGGUAAUACGGAGGAUGCGAGCGUUAUCCGGAUUUAUUGGGUUUAAAGGGUGCGUAGGCGGAAUGCCAAGUCAGCGGUAAAAUCGCGGGGCUCAACCUCGCUCCGCCGUUGAAACUGCCGU